UAGCCUUGACAUAUUUUAGAACUCCGUAGAGAUACAGAGGUGCCUUCGGGAGCUAAUUUACAGGUGCUGCACGGCUGUCGUCAGCUCGUGUCGUGAGAUGUUGGGUUAAGUCCCGCAACGAGCGCAACCCUCGUCACUAGUUACUAACGGUUCGGCCGAGGACUCUAGUGAGACUGCCUUCGUAAGGAGGAGGAAGGUGAGGACGACGUCAAGUCAUCAUGGCCCUUACGGCUAGGGCAACACACGUGCUACAAUGGCGGGGUACAAAGAGCAGCCAACUGGCGACAGUGCGCGAAUCUCAUAAAACCUCUCGUAGUCCGGAUCGGAGUCUGCAACUCGACUCCGUGAAGUCGGAAUCGCUAGUAAUCGUGAAUCAGAAUGUCACGGUGAAUACGUUCCCGGGCCU
rnacentral:rRNA from 1 species